AGUUCCUGGGUUGCCGAGCGUCUCUGUCUCCGCAUCUCUCCUCGCCCCGCCUCCUCCCUGCCUGGAUCCGCCCUGCCCGCAGCCUCUCCUCCCCUUCCUCCCCGCCGCCACGGCCCCGCAAGAGAGGAGCUGCAGCCUGCCCACACACUCACUAGGCAAGGGGGGCACCACCAGGGCACUGUGCCAACUCCUGGCAGCUCCAAAGUACUGAAACCUGGCUAUUUUGGCGUAGCAGGGUACAGGAAAGGGUUCAGCCGACUCCUACACCAGCCGCCCAUCUCUGGACUCAGACGUCUCCCUGGAGGAGGACCGGGAGAGUGCCCGGCGUGAAGUAGAGAGCCAGGCUCAGCAGCAGCUCGAAAGGGCCAAGCACAAACCUGUGGCAUUUGCGGUGAGGACCAAUGUCAGCUACUGUGGCGUACUGGAUGAGGAGUGCCCAGUCCAGGGCUCUGGAGUCAACUUUGAGGCCAAAGAUUUUCUGCACAUUAAAGAGAAGUACAGCAAUGACUGGUGGAUCGGGCGGCUAGUGAAAGAGGGCGGGGACAUCG
rnacentral:sRNA from 1 species